AGCCUGACCCAGCAACGCCGCGUGUAUGAUGAAGGCCUUCGGGUCGUAAAAUACUUUUCAGGGAGAAGAGAAAGGACUGUACCCCUGGAAUAAGUCUCGGCUAACUACGUGCCAGCAGCCGCGGUAAAACGUAGGAGGCGAGCGUUAUCCGGAUUUACUGGGUGUAAAGCGCGUGCAGGCGGUUUGAUAAGUUGGAUGUGAAAGCUCCUGGCUCAACUGGGAGAGGUCGUUCAAAACUAUCAGACUUGAGAGUGGUAGNNNAAAGUGGAAUUCCCGGUNUAGUGGUGAAAUGCGUAGAUAUCGGGAGGAACACCAGUGGCGAAGGCGGCUUUCUGGACCAUUUCUGACGCUCAGACGCGAAAGCUAGGG
rnacentral:rRNA from 1 species